UUACGGCCAUAUCACGUUGAAACACCGGUUCUCGUAUGAUCACCGAAUUUAAGCAACGUCGAGCCUGGUCAAUACCCAAAUGGGUGACCGCUUGGGAAUACCAGGCGUUGUAAG